CUUGGGUUCAUUUUGCCUGGGACUCUUCUUGCUUUCUGGACUUGCUUCCUUUCCUUUCCCACAUUAGGGACGUUUUCAGCUAUUAUCUCUUCAAAUAUUUUCUCAGGUCCUUUCUCUCUCUCCUUCUCCUCCUGGGACCCCUAUAAUGCAAAUGUUGGUGUUUAAUGUAGUCCCAGAGGUCUGUUAGACUGUCCUCAUUUCUUUUCAUUCUUUUUUCUUUAUUCUGCUCUGUGACAGUAAUUCCCCCCAUUCUGUCUUGCAGCUCACUUAUUCAUUCUUCUGCCUCAUGUACUCUGCUAUUGAUUCCUUCUAGUUAAUCUUUCAUCUCAGGUAUUGUAUUAUUCAUCUGCUUGUGUGUUCUUUAGAUCUUCUAGCUCUGUGUUAAACAUUUCUUGUGUCUUCUCAGUGUGUGCCUCUAUUCUUUUCCCAAGGUUUGGCUCAUCUUUAUUACCAUUACUCUGAAUUCUUUUUUGGGGUAGAUUGCCUACCUCCACUUCACUUAAUUGUUUUUUGGUGGUUUUACUUGUUCAUUUGUCUGGGAAAAAUUCCUCUGCCAUCUCAUUUUGUCUAAUUUUCUGUGAUUGCAAUUUCUGUUCCGCAGGGCUGUAGUCCUUCUUGCUUGUGCUGUUUGUCCCCUGGUUGAUGAGGCUGGUCUAAGAGGCUUGUGCAGAUGUCCUGGGCCACCCAUGAGAGACGGGUCUUGCUGGAGAGUUCUGACAACACGUGGUCCACGGGAGAAGGGAAUGACAAACCACUUCAGUAUUCUUGCCUCGAGAACCCCGUGAACAGUAUGAAAAGUCAAAAAGAUAGGACACUGAAGAUGAACUUCCUAGGUCAGUAGGUGCCCAAUAUGCUACUGGAGAUGGGUGGAGAAAUAACUCCAAAAAGAAUGAAGAGACGGAGCCAAAGCAAAAACAAUACCCAGUUGUGGAUGUGACUGCUGAAGAAGCAAGGUCCAAUGCGGUAAAGAACAAUAUUGCAUAGGAACCUGGAAUGUUAAACAUCCGUGAAUCAAGGCAAAUUGGAAAUGGUCAAACAGGAAAUGGUGAGAGUGAACAUGGACAUUUUAGGAAUCAGCAAACUAAGAUGGACUGGAAUG
ensembl:lncRNA